AUCUGCAAUUCUCCAUAUUCGGUCAACAGAAAGACCUGCUGAGAUCUCACCUUGAAAGAAGAGUCACAUGACACGUUAGCAUUUUAGUUUUAACAUCGACUUCGCGAGCACCAGAACUCUCUCGUCAUGAAGUCUGCAACGAUUCCUAGUUCAACUAUCUUAACUAUUGCUUUAUUCGUUUUCCUUUUUGCUCAAAUACUUUGCAUUCCACAGUACUUCGGGACAGGUAAAGCUGAUGAACCUUGUGACCCGAAAUUAGCUGAUUGCACCCAAAAUUUGUUUGGUGCCUCAGGUCCAGGUUCCCUUCAAUCUGCUCCAUGCCCGCCUGGCUUUGUACGUGAUCGUUCCGGAACAUGUAGACAAAACCCAUCUAUCGGAUAGAACCAACUGAAAAUAACGGGAAAACUGGACCAAUUAUUCGCGUUUUUAACAGUCAUGCCUGAAAUUUUCUUUUGCGGAUUAACUGCUCUGUAUGAUUUAAUUUCAAGUUGACGAAUUAUAUAAUAAUAAUUGAACUAUACCCCAUUUUAAAGUCCCCUUUAUCGCCUUUUCUUUCUCUCUUCUUCUUUUUCUUCAUUCUCCUUUUUCAGUUUCCCACCUAAUUUACCACACCCUUUUAGCGUGUUAAGUACGGUUUGCACAACUGCUUGUUAUUUAUAAUUUUUCAUUUGUGGUUGUUAAAUAAAUAAAAAAAAAACGCGAA